GACGAUCAGUAGCUGGGUUGAGAGGAUGACCAGCCACACUGGGACUGAGACACGGCCCAGAUCCUACGGGAGGGCAGCAGUGGGGAAUCUUGCGCAAUGGGCGAAAGCCGACGCAGCCAUGCCGCUGAAUGAUGAAGGUCUUAGGAUUGUAAAAUUCUUUCACCGGAGACGAUAAUGACGGUACCCGGAGAAGAAGCCCCGGCUAACUUCGUGCCAGCAGCCGCGGUAAUACGAAGGGGGCUAGCGUUGCUCGGAAUUACUGGGCGUAAAGGGCGCGUAGGCGGAUCGUUAAGUCAGAGGUGAAAUCCCAGGGCUCAACCCUGGAACUGCCUUUGAUACUGGCGAUCUGAGUAUGAGAGAGGUAUGUGGAACUCCGAGUGUAGAGGUGAAAUCGUAGAUAUUCGGAAGAACACCAGUGGCGAAGGCGACAUACUGGCUCAUUACUGACGCUGAGGCGCGAAAGUGGGGAGCAAACAGGAUUAGAUACCCUUGUC
rnacentral:rRNA from 1 species